AACAACUAAGUAGAGUAAGGUAGUGUAGGUAGGAACUUUAAACGUAUACCUUAUUCUUUAAAAAAUAUAAAGGAAUUGAGGAAAUAAAGUGUAACUGCGCAUAAACACAAUACAAAUCCUUUCUCUCCUUGAUUCGUCAUGGUCCGCAAAUGUUUCGCACAUUAGGAAAAAACCUUGGACCCACAACGGGUAUUGGAUAAAUUUAGGAAGAAUGUCCAAGCAACAGGUUACACUCUGUCAUAAUCCGACAAAUACGCGAAUGGGAUUUACAAACUGUUGUCCUCAUUUGCAUACGACUCCGAGAAAUUUCAGAGCAUGCGCGCAGAUUUAAUACAGAUGGGAAAUAUUUAAUUUCAUUUAAUAUGAUUUAUAAAAUAUAAAACAAGCCCGUACUGACCUUUUUCGGAUUUGAGUAGAUACGCUUUAUGUUUCCUUUCAGCAUCUUCAUAUCUGUUUUUCCACUUUUCGACGUAAAUCGAGAGAGCGAUGUUAGCCUCCUUGGAGUUGUGGUGCGCGUCGGGCGGCGUCAUCCUGGCGGCAGUGGCUCGCGGUAUCCUCGUCGCCGCGCCGCUGGGACAGAGCGAGACAGCGUUUCUGCUGCCGCCUUGACACUGAUUGUUGGUCGACGCGAUCGCAAACACAUUAUCACCGUUCCUUUUGAUCAUUUUUGCAUUCAAUUUUUAUUGCACGCGCGCGUCGAACGCUCGCAUCCUCGUAUGCAACGUACGCGACACGUGUUUAGAUCAACAGGCUGGUGCGUCCGUAUAAGUGUUUAAUGUUUUAAAAAUAUUACCUAUACUCUUUGUUCGCAACGUUAAGGAAAAUUCUAUCAGUAAUGGUUGAUCACGUAAUGUCGCGCGUGUUUAUUCAAUAACGUUCGAUAAUGUCACUCGCGUUCCUGAAAUCAAUCAUAACGUAAUAUUUUAGAAAAAAAAUCGCGUAAAAACACGAUGAUCAUGUUUGAGUGUUGUAAGGGUACUGAGUUAGUAGUCACUGAUGUAGAAACACGUUCGUGAUAUGAUAAUGAGUCUUCGUCAUUGUGAGUCAUACGGAUUGUUUACGCAUUUUGUUUAUGUUCGAUGUUGUCUCAUCAAACCUCAAAAUCGUUCGAUACUUUCGUAGAAUUCAUAUAGUUUUUACAACGAAGUAGUUAGUUCGAAAUCAAUUUGACCGUGAAAUUCAAUUGUCUCUUCUGUAUUUUAUCGAUUCUGUAGGACUUUUAGAUUUCAUUAGAGCAUGCAUUAUUUUGUUCUUUUGCUUGAAAUAAAUCUUAGAAAUUAGAAUAAUUUUAAAACAAAUUUAUGUAAAAAGCUACGUUUAUAAAAUACGUUUUGAUUGAAUGAAAACGUUAAAAUUGUAAUAUUAAGCAGGUAUAAUUUCUUAAAAAAUGUGUAUUAAAAAAAGGAAACAAUUCAAAUACAUACUAAAGAUACGA